rnacentral:rRNA from 1 species
CCUACGGGAGGCAGCAGUGGGGGAUAUUGCACAAUGGGGGGAACCCUGAUGCAGCGACGCCGCGUGGGUGAAGAAGCGCCUCGGCGCGUAAAGCCCUGUCAGCAGGGAAGAAAAUGACGGUACCUGAAGAAGAAGCCCCGGCUAACUACGUGCCAGCAGCCGCGGUAAUACGUAGGGGGCAAGCGUUAUCCGGAUUUACUGGGUGUAAAGGGGGCGCAGACGGCGAUGCAAGCCAGGAGUGAAAGCCCGGGGCCCAACCCCGGGACUGCUUUUGGAACUGCGUGGCUAGAGUGCAGGAGGGGCAGGCGGAAGUCCUGGUGUAGCGGUGAAAUGCGUAGAUAGCAGGAGGAACGCCGGUGGCGAAGGCGGCCUGCUGGACUGCAACUGACGUUGAGGCCCGAAAGCGUGGGGAGCAAACAGGAUUAGAUACCCGUGUAGUC